rnacentral:misc_RNA from 1 species
CCUCCUCCUCCAUGGGAAAGGAUCAGGUGCAGGGGUUGUCUGUUUCAUGUUGCGAAUACUGCAAAGGGCAGCGGGUGGGCAGCACCGUCGUUUUGUCGUUUUUUGUUGUUGGUUUGCCUGGUUUGUUGUUCAUCGGGUGCGCUGAUCGUCUUUGUCGCGCUACACCUGACCGAACACAAAUGAAGACAACGAGGAGAGAAAGAUGGUCCGCCAUGUCAAGGCGAUGGCCUGAUCGUCGACAUGGUCGUGCAGAGUCCCAGACAUCGUAUUUCUCCUGCUUCUUGCUAUUCCAACUCGCUGUGUUGUCGUUGUUUUCGUUCUGUUGGCCGAGCGCUUCCACGGCAGAUGAUGACAUCUGUGCAGCCUACACGAAUGUGGUUGUACGUGAAAGACGGCCGAUCCCUUUUCUUCGUUUCCGUGGUUUUUGGUGGUGCUUCAAAACCGUUGUUUCCCACAUCAAAAAAAAAUGCUUCGAUGUAGCUUACAGUGUCUUUCACGACUUGCAACGCACCCCCUACUUUUGUUUUCCUAUCUUCCGCACACUCGAAGAGGGUCCGGCGAAAAGGACAAGAAGAUCCCUGCUUAGCCGCAUGGCCCGCUUCGGCGGCAGGGCGGUUUGUCUUGAGCCACCGGGAUGUGGCCGUGGUGCCACAGAGGUGGGCAUGCGCGCGGAUUUGUGAACUUGUGGGGGACUAUGGAUAUGUCGGGACGAAUGCACGCUUUGCCCCGUCUUUCUCCGCUUGGCGUGCGAACUUUUCUCCGCUCCUCGCAAGGGCAGCUCAUUUUCGUUCGGCCAUUCGGAGGUGGUCUUUUUUGCUCUGCGCUCUCCGGUUUCACUGGAAUUUGUUGCUGGCGCCCGGUCUGG